rnacentral:rRNA from 1 species
CCUACGGGUGGCAGCAGUGAGGAAUAUUGGUCAAUGGGCGGAAGCCUGAACCAGCCAAGUCGCGUGAGGGAUUAAGGCCCUGCGGGUCGUAAACCUCUUUUGCCGGGGAGCAGUGGUCCGGACGCGUCCGGACCGGGAGAGUACCCGGAGAAAAAGCAUCGGCUAACUCCGUGCCAGCAGCCGCGGUAAUACGGAGGCCCGAGCGUUAUCCGGAUUCAUUGGGCUUAAAGGGAGCGUAGGCGGGCGUUCAAGUCAGCUAUAAAAUCACGCGGCUCAACCGCGCCCCGCAGUUGAAACUGGACGCCUUGAGUUCACAACAGGCAGGCGGAAUGCGCAGUGUAGCGGUGAAAUGCUUAGAUAUUGCGCAGAACUCCGAUUGCGAAGGCAGCAUACCGGCGGCGAUCUGACGCUGAGGCACGAAAGCGUGGGUAUCGAACAGGAUUAGAUACCCGGGUAGUC